GGGAGGUGUGAUCCCGUGCUUCCUGGGAGGUGUGAUCCCGUGCUUCCUGGGAGGUGUGAGCCUGUGCUUCCU
rnacentral:pre_miRNA from 1 species